CCUACGGGAGGCUGCAGUGGGGAAUAUUGGACAAUGGGCGAAAGCCUGAUCCAGCCAUGCCGCGUGUGUGAAGAAGGCCUUCGGGUUGUAAAGCACUUUCAGUGGGGAAGAAAGCCUUGGGGCUAAUACCCUCGAGGAAGGACAUCACCCACAGAAGAAGCACCGGCUAACUCCGUGCCAGCAGCCGCGGUAAUACGGAGGGUGCGAGCGUUAAUCGGAAUUACUGGGCGUAAAGCGCGCGUAGGCGGUCUGAUAAGCCGGUUGUGAAAGCCCCGGGCUCAACCUGGGAACGGCAUCCGGAACUGUCAGGCUAGAGUGCGGGAGAGGAAGGUAGAAUUCCCGGUGUAGCGGUGAAAUGCGUAGAGAUCGGGAGGAAUACCAGUGGCGAAGGCGGCCUUCUGGACUGACACUGACGCUGAGGUGCGAAAGCGUGGGUAGCAAACAGGAUUAGAUACCCCUGUAGUC
rnacentral:rRNA from 1 species